AAGAAACAACAAGAAAAGAAAUGAACUAAAAACGAAAAUAAAGAGGGAUCCAGAAAUUCCGUCUAUCUUCUUUAGCAAUGAACACCAUCUGCGGGCUGCAUUAACACGCUGAUAUAAGUCAAAUUCUCAAGAACUUGGGGGACUUCCAUACCGGCGAUUCACAGGUCUCACAAAUGACAUGGAGUCGACUCAGUGAAGAGUUCUUCAGCUCAAAGAAGGACAUGAACUCAACAAAAGAGAUACAGCCUUCAAAUUUGAUCAGUGUCUAAUCGAAAAAUGGAUUCGAUAUCAAAUCCUAGUUCUUAAAGCUUUGCAGACUGAGUUCAACGAGCUAAAACCACUGCAAGAGAUCUUGGAUCCAAGGUUCAACAUUUGUUGCAGAUGUCUCUAGCACCCCUUGAUGUGAUACUAUAGAGUGUAAGGAUUGUAAAGGAACUGAUCUUUGACCUACUGAGUUUAUAGGAUCCAUUGCACUUAUACUUGGAAUAACCUCUAGCUGCAAAUAAAAAGCAUUUGGAGGGUAUCUUCUUUCAGUAGAUGGUACAAUAUUCAAUGGUUCUUGAUAAGAGGCAUUAGCCAAUUCAUUCAAGAGUACCAACUCCUUCUUCUGAUCUUCAUGCAUUACUAAGGGACCGACGUUGCUCCACAUUCACCUCCACAUGGCUAGUUGAGUUCGUUGAAGGCUACUAUUUUGGUGAGUUACCAUGUUUCAGGAAUAAUAUUUCUUUCCUCUUUUAGCUUAUUUUAUGUAAAGACUUAUGGAUACAUUUCAUAGUACUUAUUUCUAUUUAAAUUGAGGGUGAGCUAGGGACAUGUCUUAGCCCCCGCCAAGUCUUUUAGUAGAGGUAUAUUUGGAGAUGAAUGAAUAAUGUUCUAAGUUGGACAUUGACUCU